UACGUAGGGGGCAAGCGUUGUCCGGAUUUAUUGGGCGUAAAGAGCUCGUAGGCGGUUCCGUAAGUCGGGUGUGAAAAAUCUGGGCUCAACCCAGUGGAGCACCCGAUACUGCGGUGACUCGAGUCCGGUAGGGGAGUGUGGAAUUCCUGGUGUAGCGGUGAAAUGCGCAGAUAUCAGGAGGAACACCGACGGCGAAGGCAGCACUCUGGGCCGGUACUGACGCUGAGGAGCGAAGGCAUGGGGAGCGAACAGG
rnacentral:rRNA from 1 species